UACGUAGGGUGCAGGCGUUAAUCGGAAUUACUGGGCGUAAAGCGUGCGCAGGCGGCUUGCUAAGACAGGUGUGAAAUCCCCGGGCUUAACCUGGGAACUGCGCUUGUAACUGGCAAGCUAGAGUGUGGCAGAGGGGGGUGGAAUUCCACGUGUAGCAGUGAAAUGCGUAGAGAUGUGGAGGAACACCGAUGGCGAAGGCAGCCCCCUGGGCUAACACUGACGCUCAUGCACGAAAGCGUGGGGAGCAAACAGG
rnacentral:rRNA from 1 species